UGUGUGCUAUGUUUAAAAACAAUAUAUUUUUAAUUGUUUUUUAUUAUUAUUAUUUUAUCAUUAUUAGGAGCAGGUCACAAUUUGAAGCUUUUCUGUGUAAUUAUUAGAGACUGAAAACUUCAUUAAAAAGAAAAAGUCAAGAUUAUUCUAUGAUCCUAAGAAUCUCAAUGCAAGGACAUCGGUACCCACAAUUCUACUAGCGCUCUGAGUACAUCGCAACCACAAUGAAACCCACAGAGGCAUGCAGUGAGGUUUUGGGUUGUUUUGUGGUUAUUUUUGGUGUAUAUAUCAUCAUUGAUGCCCCAGAAAUGAAGAAAAGUUUUCAAGUACAUCUAAAUAUCAUCCAACACCUGAGAGGAUUUGAUCAAAGAGACAAAGUCAAGCUCAUCGCAGUGGAAAUUCAAGAGAUUAUGGACACUGAAACAAGAAAUUAGUAUGUGAGGAAAAGCUUUUUCACCAUAAGGACAGUGAAACAGAGGAAGAGGCUGCCCAGUGAGGAUGUAAGUUUUCCAUCUCUGAGAGUUUUUCAAAAGCCAUCUGGAUCAUAAACUGCAGAGUUCACCUAAUUUCAAUCAAGGGUUGGAACAGAGACUUACUGAGGUCUUUUGUGAACUGUGUUUUCUUAUGAUCAUCUACUGUACUAUACCGUAUCCGCAGUUAAUUUUCUCUUUUCCAGAGAGAUUAGUCUUUUUUACACGUAAACAAUAUGUGUAUUGUAUAACUUCAAUCAUUUUAGUUGCACUUCCUUGUUUUACUGUACCCUUUCUAAUACAGGGCAACAAGCUGCACAUGGUUUCCAAGAGAGCAGGCACUGCAAAUUAAUUCUAUGUUUAGUGGCAUUUACAUCUUUGUUCCUUAGUCCUUCAGCAGUAAUUUCUUACCAGUCUGUUUGCCUUGUAAAUGGCACUUCACUUUGGAUUUGAUAUAUUCAUAGGAUAUAUAUAAUAAUACAAAAGCUGUCUGUGAAGAUUUGUCAAGUAGUUUCAUUAAAUUUAGACCCCAUCAUUUUGUAAUUGUGAUUAAAUUUGGAUUUUCCUGUAUGUAUUUCUUUGUGUAUGUUGACUCAGUUUCUUGUUUAUCCAAUAUUCUUCUACACUACUUUAAGUUUUGAAGUGCACUGAAUAUUGCUGUAUCAUCAGAAAGCUUCAUUACAGAGCGAAAAAUAAAAGAAAUUAUAUAUUUUAGUCUCA
rnacentral:lncRNA from 1 species